rnacentral:rRNA from 1 species
CACGUAGGGGACGAGCGUUGUCCGGAUUCAUUGGGCGUAAAGCGCGCGUAGGCGGCUCGGAAAGUCGGUCGUGAAAUGCCGGGGCUCAACCCCGGGACUGCGUCCGAUACUCCCGAGCUGGAGGCAGGUAGGGGAGAUCGGAAUUCCUGGUGUAGCGGUGGAAUGCGCAGAUAUCAGGAAGAACACCGACGGCGAAGGCGGCUCGCUGGGACGGUACUGACGCUGAGGCGCGAAAGCGUGGGGAGCGAACAGG